rnacentral:rRNA from 1 species
CUACGGGAUGCUGCAGUGAGGAAUUUUGCGCAAUGGGGGCAACCCUGACGCAGCCACGCCGCGUGAGUGAAGAAGGCCCUCGGGUCGUAAAGCACUGUCAAGUGGGAAAAAAAUUUUUUGAUUAAUAGUCAAAAGACUUGAUGGUACCACUGGAGGAAGCACCGGCUAACUCCGUGCCAGCAGCCGCGGUAAUACGGAGGGUGCGAGCGUUGUUCGGAUUUACUGGGCGUAAAGAGCGUGUAGGCGGUUUAGCAAGUCAGAUGUGAAAGCCCUGGGCUCAACCCGGGAAGUGCAUUUGAAACUGCUUCACUAGAGUAUGGGAGAGGGGAUUGGAAUUCCUGGUGUAGAGGUGAAAUUCGUAGAUAUCAGGAGGAACACCCGUGGCGAAGGCGAUUCUCUGGACCAAUACUGACGCUGAGACGCGAAAGCGUGGGGAGCAAACAGGAUUAGAUACCCGUGUAGUC